rnacentral:siRNA from 1 species
ACAUGCCAUUUUCUUGUGUGAUGA